UAAUAUAUUUUAGGCAAAUCAUCAUUUAGUUAUGGUAAACUUAUACAUGACUAAUAAGGAUCAUUCAUUGUUAUAUGAACAAUAAUCUUUUGAAAUUUUAAUUGAAGU
rnacentral:pre_miRNA from 1 species